rnacentral:rRNA from 1 species
CCUACGGGAGGCAGCAGUAGGGAAUCUUUCACAAUGGGCGAAAGCCUGAUGGAGCAACGCCGCGUGCAGGAUGAAGGCCUUCGGGUUGUAAACUGCUUUUAUAAGCGAGAAAUAUGAUGGUAACUUAUGAAUAAGGAUCGGCUAACUAUGUGCCAGCAGCCGCGGUCAUACGUAGGAUCCGAGCAUUAUCCGGAGUGACUGGGUGUAAAGAGUUGCGUAGGUGGCAUAAUAAGUAGCUAGUGAAAUCUGGUGGCUCAACCAUUCAGACUAUUAGCUAAACUGUUAAGCUCGAGACCGUUAGGGGUAACUGGAAUUUCUAGUGUAGGAGUGAAAUCCGUAGAUAUUAGAAGGAACACCAAUAGCGUAGGCAGGUUGCUGGGACGGUUCUGACACUAAGGCACGAAAGCGUAGGGAGCAAACGGGAUUAGAUACCCCAGUAGUC